UUCCGUAGGUGAACCUGCGGAAG
rnacentral:ncRNA from 2 species